rnacentral:rRNA from 1 species
GUGGGGAAUAUUGGACAAUGGGCGAAAGCCUGAUCCAGCAAUGCCGCGUGAGUGAUGAAGGCCUUAGGGUUGUAAAGCUCUUUUACCAGGGAUGAUAAUGACAGUACCUGGAGAAUAAGCUCCGGCUAACUCCGUGCCAGCAGCCGCGGUAAUACGGAGGGAGCUAGCGUUGUUCGGAAUUACUGGGCGUAAAGCGCACGUAGGCGGUUACUCAAGUCAGAGGUGAAAGCCCGGGGCUCAACCCCGGAACUGCCUUUGAAACUAGGUGACUGGAAUCUUGGAGAGGCGAGUGGAAUUCCGAGUGUAGAGGUGAAAUUCGUAGAUAUUCGGAAGAACACCAGUGGCGAAGGCGACUCGCUGGACAAGUAUUGACGCUGAGGUGCGAAAGCGUGGGGAGCAAACAGGAUUAGAUACCCUAGUAGUCC